AGUAUGAGCAUAGCUGUUGGGACCCGAAAGAUGGUGAACUAUGCCUGAAUAGGGUGAAGCCAGAGGAAACUCUGGUGGAGGCUCGCAGCGGUUCUGACGUGCAAAUCGAUCGUCAAAUUUGGGUAUAGGGGCGAAAGACUAAUCGAACCAUUAACACGGAGUACGCUUUUUGCUACUAGGUGGUUAAGAGGCGGCGUUAUAAAGCGCCAGCCUAGUCCCUCCUUCUGGGGCGACACUGUUAAAUUGUUCGGGGACAUCCUUAGAGCCUAAGCUACCGCGGCCGGUCGAAAGAUUCGGUGCAGCACCAGGGUAAUGACCUCGGGUAUGGUAAUAACGCUUAGGGUUGGACAACCCGCAGCCAAGCUCCUAAGGCCCAUGCGGCACGGAGAAGGUCCACAGACUAAAUAGCAGUGGGUCUGGCAAACAGCCAGGCUUAAGAUAUAGUCGAUCCCCAGCGAGAGCUGGGCGGUAGGGCAAAGCUUCCAGACAGAUGGGUGCAUGGCACGUCUGAGGAGCCCGA
rnacentral:rRNA from 1 species